AACGAACGCUGGCGGCAGGCCUAACACAUGCAAGUCGAACGCUGUAGCAAUACAGAGUGGCAGACGGGUGAGUAACGCGUGGGAACCUUCCCAAUGGUGCGGAAUAGCUCAGGGAAACUUGAGGUAAUACCGCAUAAGCCCUUAGGGGGAAAGAUUUAUCGCCAUUGGAUGGGCCCGCGUCGGAUUAGCUAGUUGGUGAGGUAAUGGCUCACCAAGGCAACGAUCCGUAGCUGGUUUGAGAGAAUGACCAGCCACACUGGGACUGAGACACGGCCCAGACUCCUACGGGAGGCAGCAGUGGGGAAUCUUGGACAAUGGGCGCAAGCCUGAUCCAGCCAUGCCGCGUGAGUGACGAAGGCCUUAGGGUUGUAAAGCUCUUUUGCCGGGGACGAUAAUGACGGUACCCGGAGAAUAAGUCCCGGCUAACUUCGUGCCAGCAGCCGCGGUAAGAC
rnacentral:rRNA from 1 species